GCCGCCCGAGAGCGACGACGCGGACGCUGGGAGCCGAGUGCCCUUGCGAGCAGUUUCCAGACUCCUCUGUUUCUAAGAGCAAAAGAAGUGAAUAAGUCUCAGCUUGCUAUCUCCACCAACUGGGAGCUCUUUGGCACUAUUGCAGCAACGUGGAAAGAUGCCGUCGUUGACAACAUUGAUGAGGAAUACGAUCGACUGGUUCAGCACCUACAUAACUGUGCGAAGAAUGCCGAGAGUCAGAAAGCCACAGACGCCUGUCUUUGGAAACUCUCGGGCUCAUUUGUCAACGUGGUUUGGCACGAGCCUCAGUCAACCACAAGCUAACAUCCGAGCUCGCAAAGCUGUGCAGAGAUUCGAUAAAGGAAGACCUCAAAGAGAGAAGAGCAGCAGUGUUGGCCGAUGUGGCAGAAUUCGGGAAAAGUAUUUGCAAUGCUCGCCUAUCCUUUACCAACUACAAGACCAAGAUGACUGCCCUCUGACGUCCUGAUGGAUCUAUCACAUCUUCCAGAAAGGCAAUGGAGAGGAUUAUUCACGUCUUCUACUCGGAUCUCUUUGACAACCAUGUCCACCUGCCCAUAUACCAACUUCCGCAGGAUGGAUAUGUUGUUCCCAACGUUCUCCCUUCUGAAAUCCGACAUGCCAUUCCGUUGGUAAAGACGCGUACAGCACCUGGUCCGGACAAGGUCAGACCCGAACACCUGAAGAAUGUGCCGCCAGUACUCAUCAAUACACUGGCUCGGCUCUUUAUACGCUACCUGUCUGAAUGCAAAGUUCCAUCUCAGUGGAAAACCAGUAGGACUGUUCUGUUGUACAAAAGGGAGACAUCCAUGACAUCGGCAGCUAUUGCCCAAUCUGUCUGCUGUCUGUUGUCUACAAGUUGUUCACUUGUGUCAUCCUGAAUAGAAUAGGCAGAACACUAGAUGAAGGACAACCAUGCGACCAAGCUGGGUUACGAAGGGGAUUCAGCACGAUUGACCAUAUCCACACAGUGACCAAACUCAUUGAAGUUUCACGAGAGUUCAAGAUGCUGCUUUGUCUAACGUUCAUCAACUCAAAGAAGGCCUUCGAUUCUGUUGAGAUUGAAGAGGUCAUCAAAGCCCUAGCCAAACAGGGCAUUCAAACUCAGUAUAUCAAAAUUCUCUGCGAGCUGUAUUGUGGAUUCACCACCAGGAUCUCACCAUUCUACAAGGAAAUGAUCAUUGAUGUAAAGAGAGGGGUGCGGCAAGGUGAUACAAUUUCACUGAAACUCUUCAGUGCCACCCUCGAGAAUAUCAUGCGAUAACUGGAAUGGGAAGGAAUGGGAGUGAAGAUAGACGGUCGGCAAUUACCCCACCUCUGCAUCGCUGAUGACAGCAUUGAAGAAGUGGUUAAGAGGACGAAGAACCUCCGACUCUGGGCACAUCUUUUCGAUUCCACCGUUCUUCCUGCACUAACAUACGCCUCGGAGGCCUGGGCCCUGCGUAAACAGGAUGAGAAGGCUAUUCGGGUAUCCCAAAGAGGAAUCGAAAGAGCUAUGCUUGGAGUAUCACAUCUCACUCAAGUGAGAGAAGGAAUUCGGAGUUCUGACCUCCGUCGAUGGUCAAGAAUCAGGGACGCUAUGUUGUUUGCCAAGGCAUCAAAAAUCAGAUGCUCUGGUCAUGUAAUGUGAUUCAGAGAUAACUGCUGGACUAGAGCUGUUACUGAUUGGAUUCCAUGGGACGUCAGAAGACCGCGUGGCUGCUCACUAACUAGAUGGUCAGAUUUCUUCGUCAAAUCUCUGAAUGAACGAUUUGAGGCUCUUUCUGUUCCUGGAACAAGCAGAUAUCAUUGGGCUGCACUAGCAUGUGACAGGGACAAAUGGCAACAUUACUGGCACCCGCUCAAGCAAAUUGAAGAUCAACGGGGCGAUGAGUGAGGGAUGGUGGUAUUUGACGAUGUGGUUGUGGAAUUUACCUGGAAGGAAUGGAAGGACCUGAAUGAUCCCUAGAAGACACUCCACAGGGAAGUGAUGCUGAAGACCUAUAGUAGCCUGAUGUCAUUGGGUCAUUGUACUACCAAAUCCGAGUUGAUUACCAGUUUGGAGCAAGGGACAGAGCCAUGGACUGGAGAGGAGCCCCUAGUUCAGAUGUCCAAACUCUGGAUGACCUGAUUGAGAACAACCUGAAAAGUCAAGGCAGACAUCUGAAGCACUGUAUAAACACCAUCAGUGAAUUAUCAACUAAGGAUAUGACUGCCAUGAAAAAGAAACAUUUAAUUUCAGCUCAUCACAUAUUUCAAACAGGAUUAUAUGUAGUGUAAAUCAUUCAGGAAUUAUGCCUGAGGAGUUUAGUCUAUUUCAGAACAGUUUCUUUCCAGGCGAGCUUGAGGAAGUGCAUGUUAUUGAGAGACCUGAAGUACAUGGUGUAAGUGAGUAAUCUUUCACAGCUCCUGAGCUCCCUAAUUUUCAUGAGAUGAGAGAAACAUUUUACCCUGUAUCUAUAUAUUUUGGACAAGGGAAACCCUUUAACAUAGAAGCCAUUGUGUUGACAUCUAGGAGAGAACCAAUGGAUCAGACUACCUAUAAAUAAAUGAGUAUAUGAAAGUGUAUGACAAUUCAUUUUGUAUUCUCCAAGACAGAAUUUAUAAAGGAAAAACUCACUAUAAGUGCAGUGAAUUCAGAAAACCUUUAUAGAGAAACCAACACAGAUGGAUAUUCACAGAGAUUCUGAGGAUGAGCACAAUAAAUAUGAUGAAAGUUGGAAUUUUAGCAAAAAAUUACACCUCAAUGAGUUUAUGGGAAUUCAGUCAGAAGAGAAUAUAAGUAAUUCUUUCUAUUUACU